ACGAACGCUGGCGGCGUGCUUAACACAUGCAAGUCGAACGGAAAGGCCCUGCUUUUGUGGGGUGCUCGAGUGGCGAACGGGUGAGUAACACGUGAGUAACCUGCCCUUGACUUUGGGAUAACUUCAGGAAACUGGGGCUAAUACCGGAUAGGAGCUCCUGCUGCAUGGUGGGGGUUGGAAAGUUUCGGCGGUUGGGGAUGGACUCGCGGCUUAUCAGCUUGUUGGUGGGGUAGUGGCUUACCAAGGCUUUGACAGGUAGCCGGCCUGAGAGGGUGACCGGCCACAUUGGGACUGAGAUACGGCCCAGACUCCUACGGGAGGCAGCAGUGGGGAAUAUUGCACAAUGGGCGGAAGCCUGAUGCAGCAACGCCGCGUGCGGGAUGACGGCCUUCGGGUUGUAAACCGCUUUCGCCUGUGACGAAGCGUGAGUGACGGUAAUGGGUAAAGAAGCACCGGCUAACUACGUG
rnacentral:rRNA from 1 species